rnacentral:rRNA from 1 species
AUUGAACGCUGGCGGCAGGCCUAACACAUGCAAGUCGAGCGGAGCGGCGGACGGGUGAGUAAUGCCUAGGAAUCUGCCUGGUAGUGGGGGAUCACGUCCGGAAACGGGCGCUAAUACCGCAUACUAUCAGAUGAGCCUAGGUCGGAUUAGCUAGUUGGUGGGGUAAAGGCCUACCAAGGCGACGAUCCGUAACUGGUCUGAGAGGAUGAUCAGUCAAACUGGAAAUGAGAAACGGGCCAGACUCCGACGGGAGGCAGCAGUAGGGAAUCUGCGGCAAUGGACGAAAGUCUGACCGAGCAACGCCGCGUGAGUGAAGAAGGCCUUCGGGUUGUAAAGUACUUUCAGUCGGGAGGCGUUACCGACAGAAGAAGCACCGGCUAACUCCGUGCCAGCAGCCGCGGUAAUAC